rnacentral:tRNA from 2 species
GGGGGUGUAGCUCAGUUGGGAGAGCGCUUGAAUGGCAUUCAAGAGGUCAUCGGUUCAAUCCCGUUCACCUCCACCA